rnacentral:rRNA from 1 species
AACGAACGCUGGCGGCGUGUUUAAGACAUGCAAGUCGAACGGGGUAAGAUUGUAGCAAUACCGUCUUACCCAGUGGCGCACGGGUGCGUAACACGUGAGUUACAUGCCCUGCAGUGGGGAAUAGCCCGCCGAAAGGCGGAUUAAUACCCCAUGGUCCCGCAAGGGUAAAGGUGGCGAAAGCUGCCGCUGCAGGAUUGGCUCGCGGCCUAUCAGCUAGUUGGCGGGGUAACGGCCCACCAAGGCAACGACGGGUACCUGGUCUGAGAGGAUGAUCAGGCACACUGGAACUGAGACACGGUCCAGACACCUACGGGUGGCAGCAGUCGAGAAUAAUUCACAAUGGACGAAAGUCUGAUGGUGCAACGCCGCGUGGAGGAUGAAGGUCUUCGGAUUGUAAACUCCUGUCAUUGGGGAGUAAGACCUGGCGGUGAAUAGCCGACAGGGUUGAUAGUACCCAAAGAGGAAGGGACGGCUAACUUCGUGCCAGCCGCCGCGGUAAAAC